AGCAAGCCUAGAGUCGGUGUCACAUGAUGGAGUUUAUGACGUCACCAUUACAGGGUUUCUCCACGACGAGGAGCUCAACUCACCAGUCAUUGUCGACUGUGAGCUCAGCAUUCCCGAGACCUCCUACAUGCGGAGGAAGCUGAUGCACUACUACCCAGGAAGAGCUCUUGCGUGGAUAGCAGAUGACACCAGUGGUGCAGUGCUUCUACGGGUGAACUACUCGGGAAUCGCAAUGUUGUUUGUUCUGUUGAAUUGUUGCUUGAAAUCAUGAUCAAGCAGUGAUUGGACUUUGUGAAGAACUAUUUUUAAUAUUCAUCUGUGCCAUAGAUCACAUAUCUAACCAUAUUUUGGAAUAUAUUGUCUACCAAACAUUGUACUCGUAUAUGUGCUAACAGUAGAGGUUCAACCAAUCUUGGCUGAAAUAACUACAUAAAAUUUAGAAUUUCUUUAAUUGGAUAGGUGUCAAUUAUUCAAUAAACAUAAUCCUUAGUGUCGACUAAAUAUUUAGAUCCCUCCACGUUUCAACCAAGAU